rnacentral:lncRNA from 1 species
CGUUUGAUUACAAGUAGGAAAAUUACAUGGAAAGAAAAUGAAUUCCAAGGAAUUGAAUUACCUAGAAAUUGUUUUCAUGGAAAUUGUAAAUUAUUGUGUUUGAUUGUAUAAAUUUUUCACAUGGAAAAUGUUGAAGUAAAAGUAUUUUUUGAUGUUCGUUUGACUUUGUUUUACGUGGAAAUUGUCAAUUUCAGGGAUAUCCUCUUUUACAAUUAUUCCUAAAAUUUGUUCCCAUUGCCAACAAUUA